rnacentral:rRNA from 1 species
UACGAAGGGGGCUAGCGUUGCUCGGAAUCACUGGGCGUAAAGGGCGCGUAGGCGGACUUUUAAGUCGGAGGUGAAAGCCUGGGGCUCAACCCCAGAAUUGCCUUCGAUACUGAAAGUCUUGAGACCGGUAGAGGUGAGUGGAACUGCGAGUGUAGAGGUGAAAUUCGUAGAUAUUCGCAAGAACACCAGUGGCGAAGGCGGCUCACUGGACCGGAUCUGACGCUGAGGCGCGAAAGCGUGGGGAGCAAACAGGAUUAGAUACCCUGGUAGUCCACGCCGUAAACGAUGGAUGCUAGCCGUUGGCGAGCUUGCUCGUCAGUGGCGCAGCUAACGCUUUAAGCAUCCCGCCUGGGGAGUACGGUCGCAAGAUUAAA